rnacentral:misc_RNA from 1 species
GUUGCCCCCACCUAAUGUGACAGGGGCCCUCCACAUAGGUCAUGCUCUUACUGCCGCAAUCGAGGAUGCCAUUAUUCGAUGGCGGAGAAUGUCCGGAUACAACACCUUGUGGGUUCCUGGGACAGACCAUGCGGGGAUAGCUACUCAGGUGGUUGUAGAAAAGAAAAUAAUGCGAGAAAGGAAUUUAACCAGGCAUGAUAUUGGUCGGGAGAAAUUUAUUUCUGAAGUUUGG